AUAAUGGGUCAGCGACUUAUAUUCUGUAGCAAGGUUAACCGAAUAGGGGAGCCGAAGGGAAACCGAGUCUUAACUGGGCGUUAAGUUGCAGGGUAUAGACCCGAAACCCGGUGAUCUAGCCAUGGGCAGGUUGAAGGUUGGGUAACACUAACUGGAGGACCGAACCGACUAAUGUUGAAAAAUUAGCGGAUGACUUGUGGCUGGGGGUGAAAGGCCAAUCAAACCGGGAGAUAGCUGGUUCUCCCCGAAAGCUAUUUAGGUAGCGCCUCGUGAAUUCAUCUCCGGGGGUAGAGCACUGUUUCGGCAAGGGGGUCAUCCCGACUUACCAACCCGAUGCAAACUGCGAAUACCGGAGAAUGUUAUCACGGGAGACACACGGCGGGUGCUAACGUCCGUCGUGAAGAGGGAAACAACCCAGACCGCCAGCUAAGGUCCCAAAGUCAUGGUUAAGUGGGAAACGAUGUGGGAAGGCCCAGACAGCCAGGAUGUUGGCUUAGAAGCAGCCAUCAUUUAAAGAAAGCGUAAUAGCUCACUGGUCGAGUCGGCCUGCGCGGAAGAUGUAACGGGGCUAAACCAUGCACCGAAGCUGCGGCAGCGACGCUGAUGCGUUGUUGGGUAGGGGAGCGUUCUGUAAGCCUGCGAAGGUGUGCUGUGAGGCAUGCUGGAGGUAUCAGAAGUGCGAAUGCUGACAUAAGUAACGAUAAAGCGGGUGAAAAGCCCGCUCGCCGGAAGACCAAGGGUUCCUGUCCAACGUUAAUCGGGGCAGGGUGAGUCGACCCCUAAGGCGAGGCCGAAAGGCGUAGUCGAUGGGAAACAGGUUAAUAUUCCUGUACUUGGUGUUACUGCGAAGGGGGGACGGAGAAGGCUAUGUUGGCCGGGCGACGGUUGUCCCGGUUUAAGCAUGUAGGCUGGUUUUCCAGGCAAAUCCGGAAAAUCAAGGCUGAGGCGUGAUGACGAGGCAUUACGGUGCUGAAGCAACAAAUGCCCUGCUUCCAGGAAAAGCCUCUAAGCAUCAGGUAACAUCAAAUCGUACCCCAAACCGACACAGGUGGUCAGGUAGAGAAUACCAAGGCGCUUGAGAGAACUCGGGUGAAGGAACUAGGCAAAAUGGUGCCGUAACUUCGGGAGAAGGCACGCUGAUAUGUAGGUGAGGUCCCUCGCGGAUGGAGCUGAAAUCAGUCGAAGAUACCAGCUGGCUGCAACUGUUUAUUAAAAACACAGCACUGUGCAAACACGAAAGUGGACGUAUACGGUGUGACGCCUGCCCGGUGCCGGAAGGUUAAUUGAUGGGGU
rnacentral:rRNA from 1 species